rnacentral:rRNA from 1 species
AGUGGCGAACGGGUGAGUAAUGCAUCGGAACGUGUCUUUAAGUGGGGGAUAACGCAUCGAAAGGUGUGCUAAUACCGCAUAAUCUCUGAGGAGAAAAGCAGGGGAUCGUAAGACCUUGCGCUUUUAGAGCGGCCGAUGUCUGAUUAGCUAGUUGGUAGGGUAAAGGCCUACCAAGGCGUCGAUCAGUAGCUGGUCUGAGAGGACGACCAGCCACACUGGGACUGAGACACGGCCCAGACUCCUACGGGAGGCAGCAGUGGGGAAUUUUGGACAAUGGGGGCAACCCUGAUCCAGCCAUGCCGCGUGAGUGAAGAAGGCUCUGGGUUGUAAAGCUCUUUUGUCCGGAAAGAAAUUGUACAGACUAAUACUCUGUAUGGAUGACGGUACCGGAAGAAGAAGCACCGGCUA